rnacentral:rRNA from 1 species
UACGAAGGGGGCUAGCGUUGCUCGGAAUCACUGGGCGUAAAGCGCACGUAGGUGGAUCUUUAAGUCAGGGGUGAAAUCCCAAGGCUCAACCUUGGAACUGCCUUUGAUACUGGGGAUCUCGAGUCCGGAAGAGGUGAGUGGAACUGCGAGUGUAGAGGUGAAAUUCGUAGAUAUUCGCAAGAACACCAGUGGCGAAGGCGGCUCACUGGCCCGGUACUGACGCUGAGGUGCGAAAGCGUGGGGAGCAAACAGGG